ACCANGCAAGNUCGUAGCGGAUGANAGGAGCUUGCUCCUGGAUUCAGCGGCGGACGNCNUUNNUAAUGCCUAGGAAUCUGCCUGGUAGUGGGGGACAACGUUUCGAAAGGAACGCUAAUACCGCAUACGUCCUACGGGAGAAAGCAGGGGACCUUCGGGCCUUGCGCUAUCAGAUGAGCCUAGGUCGGAUUAGCUAGUUGGUGAGGUAAUGGCUCACCAAGGCGACGAUCCGUAACUGGUCUGAGAGGAUGAUCAGUCACACUGGAACUGAGACACGGUCCAGACUCCUACGGGAGGCAGCAGUGGGGAAUAUUGGACAAUGGGCGAAAGCCUGAUCCAGCCAUGCCGCGUGUGUGAAGAAGGUCUUCGGAUUGUAAAGCACUUUAAGUUGGGAGGAAGGGUUGUAGAUUAAUACUCUGCAAUUUUGACGUUACCGACAGAAUAAGCACCGGCUAACUCUGUGCCAGCAGCCGCGGUAAUACAGAGGGUGCAAGCGUUAAUCGGAAUUACUGGGCGUAAAGCGCGCGUAGGGUGGUUUGUUAAGUUGGAAUGUGAAAUCCCCGGGUCUCAACCUGGGAACUGCAUCCAAAACUGGCAAGCUAGAGUAUGGUAGAGGGUGGUGGAAUUUCCUGUGUAGCGGUGAAAUGCGUAGAUAUAGGAAGGAACACCAGUGGCGAAGGCGACCACCUGGACUGAUACUGACACUGAGGUGCGAAAGCGUGGGGAGCAAACAGGAUUAGAUACCCUGGUAGUCCACGCCGUAAACGAUGUCNACUAGCCGUUGGGAGCCUUGAGCUCUUAGUGGCGCAGCUAACGCAUUAAGUUGACCGCCUGGGGAGUACGGCCGCAAGGUUAAAACUCAAAUGAAUUGACGGGGGCCCGCACAAGCGGUGGAGCAUGUGGUUUAAUUCGAAGCAACGCGAAGAACCUUACCAGGCCUUGACAUCCAAUGAACUUUCCAGAGAUGGAUUGGUGCCUUCGGGAACAUUGAGACAGGUGCUGCAUGGCUGUCGUCAGCUCGUGUCGUGANAUGUUGGGUUAAGUCCCGUAACGAGCGCAACCCUUGUCCUUAGUUACCAGCACGUNAUGGUGGGCACUCUAAGGAGACUGCCGGUGACAAACCGGAGGAAGGUGGGGAUGACGUCAAGUCAUCAUGGCCCCUUACGGCCUGGGCUACACACGUGCUACAAUGUCGGUACAGAGGGUUGCCAAGCCGCGAGGUGGAGCUAAUCCCACAAAACCGAUCGUAGUCCGGAUCGCAGUCUGCAACUCGACUGCGUGAAGUCGGAAUCGCUAGUAAUCGCGAAUCAGAAUGUCGCGGUGAAUACGUUCCCGGGCCUUGUACACACCGCCCGUCACACCAUGGGAGUGGGUUGCACCAGAAGUAGCUAGUCUAACCUUCGGGAGGACGGUUACCACGGUGUGAUUCAUGACUGGGGUGAAGUCGUAACAAGGUAACCA
rnacentral:rRNA from 1 species